ACGAGAAAAGCUUGGAAAAUACGAGAUCAGAUCUGAGUCAAUAAGGUCAAAAGCAGGCUCAGAAGCUAAGAUAUGCUGCAGCAAGGCUGGAGAAGGCUGAAAACCUUCAAUGAACGAAUGUCUGGGUGAAGAUUCUCGAAGAUUUGCUUUGAAUCUUCAGGCAUCAGGCAUGUGAAAGCAGUAGGAGGUGCGUAUAGGUCGUCCAUGGCUAGAGCAGCCAUAGAUUCUGGUGGAUUUGAGGUCAACGAGGGGUAGGCAAUGAUUAGGAUUUUUAGAGCGCUCGAGAGAAGAGAGGAA
rnacentral:lncRNA from 1 species